GUGCUCGCUUUGGCAGCAAAUAUACUAAAAUUGGAACGGUACAGAGAAGAUUAGUAUGGCCCCUGCACAAGAAAAAAAAAAAAACAGUCAAUGUUUCU
ensembl:snRNA U6 U6 spliceosomal RNA